GACGGACGCUGGCGGCGUGCUUAACACAUGCAAGUCGAACGGAAAGGCCCUGCUUUUGUGGGGUGCUCGAGUGGCGAACGGGUGAGUAACACGUGAGUAACCUGCCCUUGACUUUGGGAUAACUUCAGGAAACUGGGGCUAAUACCGGAUAGGAGCUCCUGCUGCAUGGUGGGGGUUGGAAAGUUUCGGCGGUUGGGGAUGGACUCGCGGCUUAUCAGCUUGUUGGUGGGGUAGUGGCUUACCAAGGCUUUGACGGGUAGCCGGCCUGAGAGGGUGACCGGCCACAUUGGGACUGGGAUCCGGCCCAGACUCCUACGGGAGGCAGCAGUGGGGAAUAUUGCACAAUGGGCGGAAGCCUGAUGCAGCAACGCCGCGUGCGGGAUGACGGCCUUCGGGUUGUAAACCGCUUUCGCCUGUGACGAAGCGUGAGUGACGGUAAUGGGUAAAGAAGCACCGGCUAACUACGUG
rnacentral:rRNA from 1 species